rnacentral:rRNA from 1 species
AAAUGAAUAGACGGGGACCCGCACAAGCGGUGGAACAUGUGGUUUAAUUCGAUGCUACGCGAAGAACCUCACCUAGGCUUGACAUGCUCGUCGUAUCCUCCUGAAAGGGAGGAGUCAUUUAGUUGGACGAUGCACAGGUGCUGCAUGGCUGUCGUCAGCUCGUGUCGUGAGAUGUUGGGUUAAGUCCCGCAACGAGCGCAACCAUUGCCCUAUGUUGCUACCUCUAGCUUGCUAGAGCGCACUCUUAGGGGACUGCCUGGGAUAACCAGGAGGAAGGUGGAGAUGACGUCAAGUCAGUACGGCCCUUAUGCCUAGGGCCACACACGUGUUACAAUGCCCGGUACAAAGGGUUGCCAACCCGCGAGGGGGAGCUAAUCUCUAAAAGCCGGGCCCAGUUCAGAUUGCAGUCUGCAAUUCGACUGCAUGAAGUCGGAAUCGCUAGUAAUGGAAGAUCAGCUCGCUUCCGUGAAUACGUUCCCGGGUCUUGUACACACCGCCCGU